rnacentral:snRNA from 1 species
AUACUUACCUGGCAGGGGAGAUACCAUGAUCACGAAGGUGGUUCUCCCAGGGCGAGGCUCAUCCAUUGCACUCUGGCUGUGCUGACCCCUGCGAUUUCCCCAAAUGCGGGAAACUCGACUGCAUAAUUUCUGGUAGUGGGGGACUGCGUUCGCGCUUUCCCCUG